CAGGGUGUAGCUCAGCUUGGUAGAGCACCUGCUUUGGGAGCAGGAUGUCGCUGGUUCGAAUCCAGUCGCCCUGA
rnacentral:tRNA from 1 species